UACGUAGGGGGCAAGCGUUGUCCGGAAUUAUUGGGCGUAAAGCGCGUGUAGGCGGCUCGGUAAGUCUGCUGUGAAAGUCCAGGGCUCAACCCUGGAAUGCCGGUGGAUACUGUCGAGCUCGAGUCCGGAAGAGGCGAGUGGAAUUCCUGGUGUAGCGGUGAAAUGCGCAGAUAUCAGGAGGAACACCAAUGGCGAAGGCAGCUCGCUGGGACGGUACUGACGCUGGGACGCGAAAGCGUGGGGAGCAAACAGG
rnacentral:rRNA from 1 species